AAAAAAAUAUUAGUAAAUUUUGCCAUAGCAGCAGUAUUAACAGCAGAUAUCAACAAUGGCCCAAAUGUUCGUAUUUGUGCAUCCCUAACAAUUAUUGUUCUGUAGUUUACAAAAUUUAAUUAACUUUUUUAGUUAACCAGGACAAAAACUAUACAAAAGUCUUAAAUAAUAUUUGAGUUUAUAAUGAAGCAGCAUGUUUACAAAGACGCUUCUAAAAAAUUGCCUAUACUCCAGUUUUCAGCCAAUUUUAUAAAUGAACUUUCACUUUGCCCUGUUAUGUUCCGGGGUUCUCUGGUUCUCUUGGUGGGGUUUUUCCUGUGCGCCUUUUCCACCUCUUACCACCAGAUGGCGACAGGUUCCGGUUGGAGUGCGGUGGUAUCAUCAUCAUCCACAGCUGUCAUCAAUUACCCUCAUCAGCGGAGCAUACUUAAGGAGUUGACCGCCAGUCCAGCGUCGCCUGAGUGUUUGCCAGUCACGGUACCUCUGAGCCCCCUUGAGCCCUGUCUCUGUGUUCCUCGUUGCCUUGAGCCUUCCUUUGAUUCUCUUUGUGUUUCUCUGUUGCCUUCAGGAGAUCCCUUUGACACUCUGGACCCGCUGACCAGAUCCUGGCAGUUUCCUUGGUUUCAGAACCUCCCUCGUGACGCCGUGGAAAGUAUCCACUGGUUGCCCGAGUUCCCAGACUCACCUCUCCGUUGUUUGCAAGUAUCUCCUGGACCCCACGGCUGGCGGCCGAAUCACUCCUCUGUGUCUCUGUUGCACCCGAGCCUACCUGUCCGUUCUCCGCCGCACUCCUCCGUUGUUCCUGGACCCACUAGAGACCGAGACCCUGGACAUACUCAGUAACCCUCCAAGAUUCAGAUCCAGCCACCACCAAUGAACCACUGCUGCCCGUUACAGUUGAUUCCCUGGACCAGACCACCUUCCCACACUCUGAUAAUUGUGUACCUUAAUAAAUCACUUAAACUGAU